rnacentral:lncRNA from 1 species
UGGGUCUACUCAGCCUCAAGCAGAUACCCCUUGGAUGAGCUCACUGCGGUCCCAGCUGAACUUACACUCGCCCAUUGUGCUUGGUGACGGUGAGGACUGUCCGGGUGGAGGACCCUGCCUCUGCCCUCCUCUGCUGUUCCUGGUCAGAUCCCUUCCCACUCUUCCAGGGCAAAGGACCCCUGCACACAUCAACCCCCUGAAGUGAAGGCCGUACCAGAGGGUGUACUAGUUUCAUUUUGUGUUCUUCUAAUUUGCUGACCAUGUGUGGAGUAUGUAACUACAGUCCAGGCUUGUCUGCAUCAAGAAUAAAACGACCCUGUUUAUUGUCCACUGAGCUCCUGGAGCAAAGGAAGAGAUCUCCUCCAACUGCCUCAACAGUCUGCCUCAGGACCUGUGUUCUCUCCUCGGUAUUGACUGUGAAUAGCCUGAACCCACCUCUAGCUGUUGGUGAUCCUGAAAUUGUGCCUUUAUGCCAACUCCACUCUGUGUCAGGACAGCAUGGCAUUUUUCCUCCUCUGCUAAACACACACACAAUCUUACACACACACACACCCUCUAAACCUUUUUAUGCACUCUAUCGUCUUUAA